UACGUAGGGCGCAAGCGUUGUCCGGAAUUAUUGGGCGUAAAGAGCUCGUAGGCGGCUUGUCACGUCGGGUGUGAAAGACCGGGGCUUAACCCCGGUUCUGCAUUCGAUACGGGCUGGCUAGAGUGUGGUAGGGGAGAUCGGAAUUCCUGGUGUAGCGGUGAAAUGCGCAGAUAUCAGGAGGAACACCCGUAGCGAAGGCGGCACUCUGGGCCGAUACUGACGCUGAGGAGCGAAAGCGUGGGGAGCGAACAGG
rnacentral:rRNA from 1 species